rnacentral:rRNA from 1 species
UAGGGAAUCUUCCGCAAUGGGCGAAAGCCUGACGGAGCAACGCCGCGUGAGUGAAGAAGGAUUUCGGUUCGUAAAGCUCUGUUGUUAGGGAAGAAUGAUUGUGUAGUAACUAUACACAGUAGAGACGGUACCUAACCAGAAAGCCACGGCUAACUACGUGCCAGCAGCCGCGGUAAUACGUAGGUGGCAAGCGUUGUCCGGAAUUAUUGGGCGUAAAGCGCGCGCAGGUGGUUUAAUAAGUCUGAUGUGAAAGCCCACGGCUCAACCGUGGAGGGUCAUUGGAAACUGUUAAACUUGAGUGCAGGAGAGAAAAGUGGAAUUCCUAGUGUAGCGGUGAAAUGCGUAGAGAUUAGGAGGAACACCAGUGGCGAAGGCGGCUUUUUGGCCUGUACUGACACUGAGGCGCGAAAGCGUGGGGAGCAAACAGGAUUAGAUACCCUGGUAGUCCACGCCGUAAACGAUGAGUGCUAAGUGUUGGUCUCAUAAGAGAUCAGUGCUGCAGCUAACGCAUUAAGCACUCCGCCUGGGGAGUACGACCGCAAGGUUG